UCACGUCAUGAUGUCUUUCUGGAGGCCC
rnacentral:piRNA from 1 species